UGAGAAACUUUAAAAGGUUUAAGCUGGUGGGGGCGCUGUUUACCAGCUGUUCUGAGAACAAUAAAGCCAUCGUCAUCGUACAGUCGCCAUCAAACAGGUGCAAAUGGUCUCAUGCAGUCUGAAUUAAUGAGGGGGCCUGUAAACAUUAAAAAGCUAAUUACAAUGUGGAUUUUAAACGUUGGCAUAUUCCCAAUGGAAGAAAUUAAUGCCAUUCUGCGGAAUCUUCCAGGCAAAUCAGAAUCAUCUCCUUUGAGACAAGCAGGCGGUGAAUUAAUUUGAGAAGUUGUAAUUAUGAUCUGUGGAGACAUAAGACGAGAGAGCUUUUAUUUUAGUCUGUUUCUUUUUGCUAAAACUAUUUGCCAUUGGGCUUGAGUAAGUUUGUUUUUCGUAAUUAAAAGCAAACAAUUCAAAUUAAAUAAUGCAAUAAAAAUAUCCGUUUUCCCCCGUUGUUUACUCUGACGUCACGGUCUCCUCGGCGACACACAGCUGUCGCCUUUGCUGAGGUUAAUCCAGUCAAGACUGAGGUCAGUCACCUCCAGCAGCACAACAGCAUAGUGAGUUACUCUCUGCGGGAUCAAUAUCACAUGUGAAAUCCUUUAUCGUCAUUUACUUUGCUGUAGUGUGCAGAAAUUAGUUGUACUAGAUUCCUGCUCACAUCCGGGAUGGUGAGGGGCCCAUGCCCCAGAACAGGAGGUGCACUUACUGUUGCUUGGUUUGGACAAUGUGGGAAAGUAAACUUUGCUAAAGCAACUGGCAGUCGAAGGUGUCAGUCACAACACCUUCACACAGGGCUUCAGUAUAAAAAGUGUCCAGUCAUCAGGAUUUAAGUUAAAUGUUUGGGACAUUCGAGGUCAACGCAAAAUUUGCCCCUACAAGAGGAUUUAUUUAGAGAACACAGACGUGCUGGUACAACCUGUUUGUGUGCAGACAGAUUCACUUUUUUAUUUUGUCGGCCUGUCAUAAGCUAGUUCUGAGAAAAGUGUUCAUAUUGUCUCUGUUUGCAAAUAUGUGUCAUUGAUAGCUCAGAAAAGAAAUGACUUGAGGAGGCCUAUUUGGUGAGAAUGUGUAAUUGAAAUAAUAUAGGCUAGUGAAGUUUUGUCUACAUUAUGACAAAGUGGCACUUUUGUUCUGAUUGCCCAGCAACUGUUUGAGUUGUUGGAUGACAAGGCUUGCUGCAGCGCCACUGUUAAUCCUUGCAACAAGAAAGACUUGACGACAGCCCCUUCUGUAGCAGAGCUGGCGGAGUGUCUGUGUCUCCACUCCAUUCGUGAUCGCACAUGGCAGAUCCAGGCUUGCUUAGCACUAACGGCUGAGGGACUCCAGGUACAAGACUUACACUGUCAACACAAAUCUGAUAAAACUUAUAAUAAGACAAUGACCAAUAUACACAAAGCCAAGUCUACGUAGGAUGAAAUAAUUAAUUUGUUUUGUUGUGGCCUUUUUUGGGCUGGUAUGACUUGGAUUUGUAAGAACAUAACAUCACUGAAGAAUUGAAUGAGCAAGCAGAGAAUCUGUUUUUAAUUAGUAUUUGUUUGUAUUUAUUGUUUUGUA